CUUGGGAAGGCUUUUGGAUCGUUGUCUGGGUGUUGGGGCACAGCCUGCUGGAGGCACUGGCAGUGGACUGGUUCCUGGUCAUGCCCGGUGGAAGGAGGGGACCCAGCCGGCAGCAGCUAAGCCGUUCAGCUUUGCCUUCUCUCCAGACUCUGGUCGGUGGGAGCUGUGGAAACGGUACUGGUUUGAGGAACAGGAAUGGUAGUGCCAUCAGCCUCUCAGCGCCUCCGAUCACAGCACUGAUUACUCCGGAGCCUGUGCGUCACUGCCGGAUCCCUGAACUGCCAUUGGAUGGGAGUCUUCUCUUUGAAUUCUUGUUCUUCAUCUACCUUCUGGUAGCCCUCUUCAUUCAGUACAUCAACAUCUACAAGACUGUCUGGUGGUACCCAUACAACCACCCUGCUUCCUGCACCUCACUGAAUUUUCACCUCAUUGACUACCACCUGGCGGCGUUCAUCACAGUGAUGCUGGCACGGAGGCUGGUGUGGGCCCUUAUCUCUGAGGCCUCUCAGGUGGGUGCAACAUCGGCGAUUCACUACAUGGUGCGCCUGGUGCUGCUCACCCUCUGUGGAUGGGUGCUCUGCUGGACUCUGGUCAACCUCUUCCGCAGCCAUUCUGUUCUCAACCUUCUCUUCCUGGGCUACCCGUUUGGUGUCUACGUCCCUCUGUGCUGCUUCCACCAGGACAGCAGAGCACAGCCUCUACCUGCAGACUGUGGUUACUUGGUACAGGACCAGGUGGCGGAUGAUGGGGCUUCAGCUGUCAGCAGCCUGGUCAAAGACUUCUUCUCGCUUCUGUGGGAAUCCCUGAGAGAACAGUUCAAUAAUCCUACAUCUAUCCCCACCCACAGCUGCCCCCUUUCCCCAGAUCUCAUCCGCAAUGAGGUGGAGUGCCUAAAAGCAGACUUCAACCGCAGGAUCAAGGAAGUUCUCUUCAACUCUCUCUUCAGUGCCUACUACGUGGCAUUCCUGCCACUGUGCUUUGUGAAGAGCACCCAGUACUACGACAUGCGCUGGUCCUGCGAGCACCUCAUCAUGGUGUGGAUCAAUGCCUUUGUCAUGCUCACCACACAGCUGCUGCCUCCCAAGUACUGUGACCUGCUCCACAGGUCUGCCGCCCACCUCGGCAAGUGGCAGAAACUAGAACAUGGCUCCUACAGCAAUGCUCCACAGCACAUCUGGUCAGAAAACACAAUAUGGCCACAGGGAGUUCUGGUGCGACGCAGCCGGUGCCUGUAUAAAGCAGUUGGGCCUUACAACGUAGCAGUGCCUUCAGACGUGUCCCAUGCCCGCUUUUAUUUCCUUUUUCACCGUCCAUUACGGCUGCUCAACCUGCUGAUUCUUAUCGAAGGCAGUGUGGUCUGCUACCAGCUCUACUCCCUGCUGCGCUCAGAGAAGUGGAACCACACCCUCUCCAUGGCCCUCAUCCUUUUCUGCAACUAUUAUGUCUUAUUUAAGCUCCUCCGGGACCGGAUAGUAUUAGGCAGGGCAUACUCCUACCCACUUAACAACUACGGACUCAAGGCACACUAGGCCGGCCAGAUGUGUACCCCUUCUCCUCCUCUUCCCCCAGGGCAGGGAGGGAACCUCAGAAAAAAAAUAUUUUCGUACAGUUCUAUUUUUUUCUUGCGACGUUUAUAAAUAUUUAAAAUAUUUUAUAUUUUGUAUACUAUUGUUUUUGUGGGGCGGGAAGGGGACCAGUGGCAAUUAAAUGUCGCUUUAUAAACAAGGUGUUAUUUUAUAUAUAUAUAUAAAAAAACCCCAUCCAUGUGUAUAUACCAUAUAUCUAUACCCAUACAUAUAUCUAUGUGAAGCAACAGGAUUGUGUGUGUGGUCACUGUGUCUGCUUUGCUCACAGAACUGCUGUUAAUUAGGAACUGGGCUGCUGUAGAAUUUGGAUAAACUAACAGCCAGGGGGCAAAAAAGGAAACACAGGGGCCUUUCACCAGGAUGAGUAAAGUUUAUUUUAAUGACCUCAGUACCAGGAAAGUCUUGCACUGGAAAUGUGCAUUGAUGAGAUAUGUUUGGGCAAAGGGAGGAAGCAGUGUGUGAAAAGAGAGGCUGAGUUACUGUCAGUCAGUAAAAACUCAGUUCUUUCUUCUUCCCACUGUUAGGAGGAUGCAGGUAUUUUUAAAAAAUAACUAUUUACUUUAGCCUCUCUCCUCCUAGCAACCUGAGCUCCCUCACCAUGCCCAGAGAAUGAACUAAAUAUUGAAAUUAUAAUUUUAGGGUAGUGUAGCAUUUAGGAAGGGAUUUGAAAUAAACAGCUUUAUCUCACAGGAUGGUAAUUGAAUAUUUUAGACACUCAUCUCUAAUUCUUUGAGUAAUACCAUUGAAUUAGGAAAUAUUCAGCUAUUUCCUUCAAGCAGUAAUGUUCCUAGCUAAAAUUUAUUCUUGUGAAACACUUACCAACUCCCUGAUUGCUAAGCAGUGCAUUUCAGCCAUUUCAUUCUAAUGUAUGUUGGUAGUGUUAAUAACUUAUCAUUAAUAAUAGAGGAAAUACUUUGCUUUGAGACUGUUCUUCCUAAAGCUGAACUAUACUAGACUAGUGAAAAAACAGUUGUGGUGGUAUCCCACAGAGGAAUUAAACAUAAAAAGCAGUAUCAACCAUAUAAUUAACUGUGCCAUGCUGGUGGGUGACAGUUGAUGGUAGGAGUUGAUGUUGUAACUCAGGUAAUUAAGCAGGGACAGCAAUGCAAUGUUCUUGCAUUCAGAUGCCAUCUGACAACUAAAGUGCUAGCUCUGGUUAAGGAGUAUCUAGGUGUGGGAAAAAAAGCCCCAAAACUGUACUGAGUUUGGGAGAAACUGCAACUUUCCGUUUCUUCUUUCCUUCCAAGCUAUGUAAGAAUACAGUGAUCCCUGCUGUCUGUAGGACAGCUGCUCCAGCAGCCUGAUCACAAGUCCAGGAUGCCUGAUGAGGGAGGCAACAGGAGAUGCCUCUGAGCAUUAACCCCCAAAUGAACACAAAUGCUUAGGUUUAGUUAAUCCUAAAACUUUUCUUUCAUGUGGCCCUAAUGUUGCUGGCAGGACAAAGGUACUAGGGAAUUUACAGUCUGGAGCCUUUCAAUAAAACAACACCAUGGCUUAACAGCCAUGUCAUGCUUUAUGUAGUAAUCCAUAUCUAUCUUGAUUACUUUAGGAAGUACUUUAAAGAUAAGAGAAGAUUGGCUUCUUAUCUAGAGGCAGGCUCAUUGCUGCAUAUGGCUUUGUGCAACACCUUUCUUGCAUCCAGAUUCAAUUUUUGCAGUAGCUCAGAAGCAUUUCCUACAAAUUUCACCUGUUUCUAAUAGCUGGCUCUGCACCCCUUGAACAUUAUUUCAUAGCAUUAUCCAGUAGUUUCUUCCAUUUGGACACCUUGAUGAUAGUAGGCUUAUAUAUAAGCAACCAGCAGGAGAAAAGAGGCUCUCCAAGGCUUAGCUUGGGAAAUGGAGAUGUGCAGAAGAAAGCCAGAACACGGUACCAGGGCUUUGGGUCAGAGUCAAGGAGGGUUCAUGGUCUGGCUCUUCCUCCCCUUGCAUGCCAGGCUGAAGGUAGGCAGAACUCUGGGGCAGUGAGCACACCCAGAUGCUGUGCAGCCCUUGGGCUGACCUUGCACUGUUGGCUGCACGAAGGAGAGAGGCACAGCAACAUUUCCAUAGCUACAGGCUUCUUGGUUUGCACCCAGUGACUGAGUACAGGGCCAAAACAAACGCUGCCUAACUGCAGGUGUGUUAAGAUCCUCCUCCUCCUCCUGAGGGAGCUAGGCAUUAUUUGCUGCCUUUCACCUUCUGAAACAGUACCCGGAGGAGGAGGAGUUCCAUGAGAAGGUUAAAGGUCUAGAGGUUGUACCUUGCCAUAUACAGUUCUGUGAACUGCCUGCAUGCAGUCCUGUAGAUGCAACUGUCUUCCACCCAUACACAGGACCCCCUACAUGGGAAGAAAUUGUAGAAGAUAGUUGCAGUUCCCCCUGUUGGCAAAAACCCAACUAGCUAGUGCAGUUAGUCUCCCUAGUACAAACUGGACCAUCUACCAAGCUGGGAGAAGAAAUUAUGUCUGCUCAGCCUCAGUGCCUGAUUAGAUCUGUGGUUUGUCCCCAUUCCUCAAAUGGGCCUGCUACUAAGCCUUAUUCAGAUGAACACUGAAAACAAGUUCACUCUAAUACUUGGUCAGGUCAGACUAGGAAAAAACAGACUUAUUCCCCAUCUUGGUUGCUCCAUCAUGCGAGGAUGUCAUAAUAAAUGGAUGGCUUUUUGGUCUGCUCACGGAACUGCUCUAGCUUUAGGCCGACCCUCAGAAGAACAGCUUCAUCCCACCAUUUUGCCAUGACCUGGGAGAAGAUGAGAGGCAGAAGGAGAAGAAUGAAUAAAAAAAACUAGCAGCAUCACACAUAUAGAUGCUCUUUAAGCCUUGGAAACAAUUCCCUCCCUUACCCCCCCCCAACAGACAUGUCUUCCCCUUUUACCCCAGUAAGUAUAGCAUCACUAUUUGGGAUAAAGGCAGCUGUGUGACUUUCAGUUGCAAGACAUAGAUCUUUCCUUUAAAUGAGACCUGUUUCAAGAGUAAAGGAUUUAAAGAAGUUACAGAAAUGAGAAAUAAGAGAGGAAAGAGUAGUGACCAAUAGUGGGUAUUGAUGCAAGUAGACAGGGAGACAGAAAAAUCUUUCUCAAAAAUACCCAAAGAGAUCCUCUUCCAUUCAGGAGUGAGGCAAAUCACCCCCAAAUUAAAGCUUUUAUUUCCAGAACCUGCCAGCUCCUCAAGUGAGCUGUGUGGAAGAGCAAGGACCUGGUUGUGGUGCUUCAGGACAAAGCCAGCCAGGGAUUUUGUGCCCUAGCAUUCACAAAGACUCACCUGGAGGCUAAUCGGAAGCCCAGCAAUAGAAUAUCCAAUGGGGACCACAAGGCCUGGAAUCCCAGUGAAGUUACCAAGCUGCAUGAACCUAGGGGGAAAAAGGUGUCAUCAGUAUUCCUGGUGCCAGCAGCAAAUUCAUCCCUUUUUGGUAAAGGCAACUAUGAUUAAUCUCUCCCACCUUACAGUCUGAGGUUCUUCUUCUCCAGCUGUUCCCAAACUUUUGUUUCUGUAGUGCAAGUAGCACUUUCCUUACCUCAUGGACCGGACUGUGAAGGACAUAUCGCUGCUCCCAGUCAAGAGGUCAGAUUCAUAAAUUCUUGGGGCAGUGCAAGGAACAGCUGUGGAGGAAUCACAAAAUGACUGAACUUGAAAGGGACCUCAGAAGUCGUCUAACCUUCUGGCUCAGGAAUGGUCAGCUAGUGCAGGGUGCCCAUGACCAUGUCCAAAUAGCUUUUGAAUAUUGCCAGGGAUGAAGAUUCCACAGGCUCUUUGGUCAACCUGAUGCAGUGCCAUGGAUACAACCAAUAAAUCUAGAAAUACACAGCAGUCUUUCUAAACAGGCUGCAUUAUCUUCUAAAGGUGCAAGGCACAGCAAAGCGUUUGCACACAAGUCAUACUUAAAAUUGAGGAGGGAAAGCUAAUGAAGUGACUGUUCCUAAAAGGCACCACACAGCUGCUGAGGACUCGCUCUUUAGCCAAGAGUGCCAGUACCUGGUGUAAGGAUACAGUUCACAGUGCUGAAGAUCUCGUGCAAAAAUCUCAUGCUCCGAGUUCUCUGUCGAUUUGCCUGCAAGCAGAGAGAAUACUGUCUGAUGGGCCCUUUUGGCACACAAAAUUCAUGUCUGAUGCUGGCAAACUCUGCCCAUCAGCGUCUCUGCCUUUGCAAAAGACACCAUUCCCACAAUCUGGAAUCAGGAUACAGGACAGGUGGCACAUCUUCUGUGGUGCCCCACCAUCCAGCAUGCUUUCGUGGCAGAGGGCAGCUAGAGCUGGGUGACAUCUUCCCAUGGGUAUGGGGAAGCUAAGAGAAGCCCCUAUCCCACCUUUACAGUUCCACUAGGUGCCUCCCUUCAGCCCUCACCCCAGUAUGUUCCUUACCUUGAUAUAAUCCAGAGCUGUGAACUGGGAAGCCAAGGCCAGGCUAGCCCGCGUUUCCAAAUUCUGAAAUAAAAAACACUGAUCAAGGCUCUGCUUGCAGGAAACUGAACUGUGACAGUCCAGGAGCUCUUUUCCAGGUCUACUCUUCUGUAUCAGUAAUCAUCCAACAGGUAGUUUGUCACAGAAGAAGGAGGAGGACCUCAGGUUUCUCACUGACAUGACAUUUGUUCUGUAUCAGCCAGGACAACUACUGACACUACUCCUGCUGCUACUUACCAUUUCAUGGAAAUGUUUAUUGAAGUCAGGUUGCAGGAAGUCCCUCAUCUCACUGAGAAUGCAGAUCACAUGUGCCACUCGCGCCUCCUCCAUCUCUGGAAGAGAGACUUCAACCACACUGGCUCCCAAACUCUGCAGGUGCUUCACCGCUGUGUACAGGACAGGUAAAGCACAGACAGCAUCCCUGAGUUCACCAGACUUCACAGAAGGGCUGCAAAUCCCCAACCCCUGCAGAGUGAGAGACCCUGUAGGCCAUUGCAGGGCAAGCGUCUUCAGUGCACCACGUGGCAUGCACAGCUGCAGCUGCUUUUCCUAGGGAGAUGCUUUUAACCUAACUACAUCUCAGUAUUCCAACAGGGCAGGGGCUUGCAGACAGGUUCCUAACUUACCUGCUGUACUUCAGGCAAAUUCACCUCAUCUCUCUAGCUUCCCAGUUAAGCCAAAGAGUAAAAGGACUGACAAUGUUUCCCUGAGCACUUCACAUCACCAGUGUUCUGUCAGCAUGAAGUGAUUAUUUAGCAUCAUGAUAUUCCCAUUCAAAGCCUCUUCUGAACCAUAAUGAUAGAGGAACCAGGGGAUACCCAAGAGACCAGGUAAACAAGACAGGGCCACUAAAUCUUGAUGCACUUUAACAAGGCUGAACACCAAGACUUUGGGAAAGGUGACUCUUUUGAAGUCUGAAAAGAAUCCUCUUCUUUCUGUGACCCCAACUUCUUCGUAAAUACCCAAGCUUGCCUAUGGUCCACCUCUUCUAAGAAAAUGCUGUAAAUGUAUAAGUGUAUAAAGAGGGUGAAGAAAAUCCAGGCAAAGCCUGAAUACUGUGAACUAUCCCAGCUCCAAUGCAACUACUAUACCAGGCAUUGUAGAGGCAUACUCCCCCACCCCCAAGUACUCACCAGGGUCAAUUCUGCGUAGUCUAAACUCUGACAAAGGCACCCUAAAGGCACCACUCGGCUGAUUUCAAGGAAAUACCAGAGAACUCGAUACAUCACAAAGACCUAGCACUGUAUUACUACUGAGCAUUAUGUUGUGAAAUAAGGCCCUGCCUUAAAAGUCUUCUACCAUUAAAGCUUGCAGAGUAAGUAUUACCAAGCACAGAUCUGUCUUUAUACACACAGAAGCUGAGCACACUGGACUGCAUUCUUCCAUUGUAAUCUGACAAGCCUGCAACUGCUGAGCUUUUUAACCCUCAGCAGUCAGGGGGGCUUCCCCCAUACAAAGCUCCUGCUGUUUAUCCAGCCAGACCCCUUUAAGCAACUGCCUGUAAGGGCUUCAGGCAGGACCUAUUUAAUGCAUACAUAAGAGGAGCACCAAGUGACACCAUAACAUCAGGCACAAUAAAAGACUUACAGACUUUUUGUCUUUACCUUUCUCACAGGCAGACAGAACUUCAGCAUCACAUGCCUAAAGAAUAAGAAGAAAGAACCAAGCAGACUUUAGUAACUGCUCUCCUCCUCUUGGCACAGGUUGCCUCCCCUGUGAGAGGUCCCUGAAGUGGAGCACAAGUCCUCUUACCUACGCUGACUGUGGAGUAGGAGAGUGGCAAGCUGCCAUGACAACUGAUGCGCCCAAAUGUACCUGGAGAACAAGAACUGGGACUUAGCUGGGUAUCAGCAGCUGCUGGGAAGAGCCAUCUACAUGCUCUGGUGCACCCACGGUAAACAACAAACCCCUGCCAGUCACUUUGAUGUCUGCUGUUUCAGAGCCCAGUCUCUCAUCCUUCAGUACUCUGUUCUGCUGACCACUGUCUGUCUCAUCAGUGAAACACAUGCAUUCAAUGAAUAGUGCAAUUUCACCCCUAAGAAAUUAUUUAGUUGAAGGGAAAUAUGUGCAGGGACAUUUUGGAACAUUUGUAUUUAAAUAUGCAAAAGCAGCAUUUAUGGUGUGGAGGAUGGAGAGGCAGGAGCAGAGUAUCAACUGCAGGAGACAGCACCCCAUGGGAGGUCUCACCCACUUCACCAGUGAGACUUCAUGCCUAACACCAGCUGUCUUCUGCAAGUACUCAUAUCACCUUUCUGGCCAGUUACAUUUUGUCAUCAUCACUAUCUUCCUCAGAUGAAACAAGAUUUGUCAAGUUGACCACAUGUGAAGGAUGGAAAGAGAGUAAUGGCUGAGUAUCUGGUCUCAGAUGAAAGGUAGAAGGAAAAGGGUAGAAAGGAAAAGCAGCACGCAUAUUUUGUUUAGCAUUUAAUGUAAGUUAAGUUAGGUUUUUUGAACAUCUGUUCAACAGACAGUAGAGAAUACUUCCAUGCUGCCAGUCUAACCCACAUGACUCUCAGGGUAUUAUAUUUCAGAGUUUCUCUGGUCAAAUUUUACUUCACAGGAAUUAAUAAACAAGUGCCUGA